rnacentral:rRNA from 1 species
CACACCGCCCGUCACACCAUGGGAGUUUGUUGCACCAGAAGCAGGUAGCUUAACCGCAAGGGGGGCGCUUGCCACGGUGUGGCCGAUGACUGGGGGUG